CCUUUCAGUAGAAUGGAUGGAAAUUCUUGUAGCGCCCAGCUAUAGUUUGUGACUGCUCAUGUAGAGUGAUAGUGUGCAGAUAUAUGUUUAUCUGUGGCUUCAUGGUAUGGUCUUAUUGAAGCUCAAAUCGGUGUUGCUUUCCCAAUACCCGGCCCACAAAUCAGAAGUGAUGUUGACCAUCCUUACAGGUCCUGGAACUGGCCUGGCUCAGGUUCCCACCAGCGAGCUCAAGCUGACAUCUCUGUUUUCUCAUUUUCACCUCCUGCACACCCAGUUUAUGUUAACACAGAUUGGGCGGGAACCCUUGUGUGUCUGCAUCCAAGUCUGCAGUGCCUAUUUAUCACUUCGGUGGCAAAUGACAGCAACAUUAGCAUCUUCAUUAACUAAUAUUCACACAGUUUGGGACUUUGGGCUCUGAUUGCCCGAAAGACGAAUGCUUUUCUUAACUUCAGAUGUCCACAAACACGAGGUGAGGCCCAAACACAAGCUAUUCUGUUCUAACUAAACUUUACAGCAAGAGCAACAGACAUGCAUUGCUGCACUCCCACCAUAAGGGGAAUUUUUACUGAGCUAGAACAGCUUUGGUGAAAAUGAUAACUUAAAUAAUUCCUUAUAACAACCACAGAUGUGUAACCCUUUGGAUUAUCCUCCUAGUCUUUCCUCCUUAAUGCUUUCUUAUUUAUUUAUUUUCAUGUUGGCUUGUUACUUUUAUUACCUGACCACGCUGUGUGGCCUGUUGUAUAAAGCAGUUGAAAGACUCUAAUUUUAAAAUGAAUGGCUAGGAGAAUGGGUUCUGUGUUCCCUUACUUUUAAGUAAGGUCUGAUUAUUCAGACUGACUGCACCACCAACAUCCUUGUGAAUGGAGCUCUUUUGUAUAACUUUUAUGAUACCUCCUGCCAGGGAAGGUCAGGUUUUAGUGUAAUGCGAUACCCUAUGUUAAAAGGCCCAAAUUAACAAAUUCCUGAAAGCAAAGCAAGGAAUACAUUUUAAAAUGGUUUUUUUGGGCACGAAGAGGCGGUACAUAAGUCAGCAAAGGAUAGGCGUGUGUGUUCCAAACCUCACUGCAAAUUUACCACCAAUGUCUUCAGAAAUGCUGGGCAGUGAAGGCAAAACCUACUGCAGAUGAAGGCACAUCCCUGAACCAGGCUCCAGUGGGUGCGACUGUGCCUGAGGAGUUGUCUGGGGCUUUUUGUGGCAGCAGCCCAGGGAUCAGGUGA
rnacentral:lncRNA from 1 species